rnacentral:rRNA from 1 species
UACGAAGGGGGCUAGCGUUGCUCGGAAUCACUGGGCGUAAAGCGCACGUAGGCGGAUGUGCCAGUCAGGGGGUGAAAUCCCGGAGCUCAACUCCGGAACUGCCUCUGAUACAGCACGUCUUGAGUUCGAGAGAGGUGGGUGGAAUUCCUAGUGUAGAGGUGAAAUUCGUAGAUAUUAGGAAGAACACCGGUGGCGAAGGCGGCCCACUGGCUCGAUACUGACGCUGAGGUGCGAAAGCGUGGGGAGCAAACAGG